UGCCUGCUCCUGUGCAUGGAUGCGGUGGUUCCCAUGCUGUCCUGAGACAGAGCUGGGGCCACCGCAUCCAGAUACUGUGGAGAUGGUA
rnacentral:miRNA from 1 species